rnacentral:rRNA from 1 species
GAGAGUCAAACAGUACGUGAAAUUGUUGAAAGGGAAGCGCUUACAACCAGACUCGCUCGCGGGUGUUCAGCCACUGCACGCAGUGGUGCACUCUCCCGCCGCGGACCAGCAUCGGUUUCGGCGACCGGACAAAGGCUCUGGGAACGUAGCUCCCUCCGGGGAGUGUUACAGCCCGGGGCACAAUGCGGCCAGCUGGGACCGAGGAAUGCGCAUCGCUAGGAUGCUGGCGUAAUGGUUGCCAGCGACCCGUCUUGAAACACGGACCAAGGAGUCGACCAAUCGCGCGAGUGUUUGGGUAUCAAACCCGCACGCGUAAUGAAAGUAAACGUAGGUGGGAGCCUUCGGCGCACCAUCGACCGAUCUUGAUGUCUUCGGAUGGAUUUGAGUACGAGCCCGAUUGGUCGGACCCGAAAGAUGGUGAACUAUGCGUGAAUAGGGUGAAGCCAGAGGAAACUCUGGUGGAGGCUCGCAGCGGUUCUGACGUGCAAAUCGAUCGUCAAAUUUGCGCAUAGGGACGAAAGACUAAUCGAACCGUCUAGUAGCUGGUUCCCGUCGAAGUUUCCCUCAGGAUAGCAGCAGCGAAAUUAGUCUCAUGAGGUAGAGCAAACGAUUAGAGGUCUUGGGGUCGAAAUGACCUUAACCUAUUCUCGAACUUCGAAUAUGUGAGAAGUCCUUGUUACUUUGUNGAA